rnacentral:lncRNA from 1 species
CCAGAUAUUGGCAGCCUUCUUGACUGGGACAGCCUUUGCAAUCAAGGAUCAAGGUAUUCCUUUUCUGCCAUUCCAUGUAAAUUGGUAUGCUAAUCGGCAGUGCAAUACUUUGUGCCCAGUAGGUGUAUUUCCCUGCUUGGAUCCAAUUUACUAAUUGUAUUUCCCUCCUAUCCAUAAGAGAGACAUUGAGCAUGUUCUCUAUUGGUUGGAUAAUUUUCCAAUACUGGUUGUGUGUUUUCUUCUUUCCUGUUAUAGGCUGCCCCAGAUAGGAGAUGGGGAGUUUUUAUUAUUUAUUAUUUUGAAGCAGUUAAAAUUUUCAUUUAUAAAAAUGAGGGGCGUUGCCCUGGUACAAUGAGAACUAGCAACAAAAUAUAAAAUAUAGAUAUAAAUAUGGAAAUGAGAGCAAGUCUCAUUUUGACACUUUCCACACAGCCAUAUUGCCUAGUAUAGAAGCUAGGCUAUCUGCCUCCGGAGGUUGGUCUCCCAUAUCUGUAUCGUGCUAGGUCUCAAAGGGUGACAGCAACUCUUUUUGAAGCUCUUUGGCCUAAAGGAGUAGUUGAUAUCAUUUAAAACCUCCUUAAGAACCGUUUCUGGUUGUCUGAGAGAAUGUUGCAAUAGAGGGUUAUCCUCAAAGAACUUGGGGAAGAUGAUUGAGCUCUUUUGUGAGUUGAUUUCAAGCCCUGAGAAUGCUGAAAUGGUAUCUAGGAUGUUAUGUUCUUGUUCUCAAUCCAUUAGAUAUAUUUAAAAUAUAAAUGGCUGUUUUGACUCACUUGGAAAAGAAAGAUUCUUACAAAACAAUCAUUACUGUUAUGUAAUUGUUAUUUGCUGUGUGGUUUGCUUUUGAGUCUCGUCAUAAGAAUGAACAAAGUUAUUUAUAUUUUGAGUUCAAAUGCUUCAACUAUAAUUGGUGGGUGUUUAGGGCCUGGUGGUUGGCAUAUUUUUAUUAUUCCAAGUUUUCACAUGGAGACAUGAGUUCUAGACUCCUAGGGUACUCUCCAUAUAGGCAUGGUGGAUGUCAUUAGUUCAAUCUCAAGGGCUUGCAUUGAAUAUUUUAUGAAACCUUUACAAUUCUUUUUUGAGUACUUGUCUUGGAAUUUAAUUUUUUUAUAUAAAAUAUUCCAUUAGUUCUCAUAGAAAGUUACUGGUUAGAUAUAUCUUAAAAUAUUCUAAUAUUCAUCCACAUUCUUUUAUAACAACUUUAAUUUUCAUUGAAUCAUAUCCUACUAUUUAAGCAUUUAAAACUUUCUUUCUUGCUUGAUUUCUUAUCAAUGUCACUAUCACUUGUAAUUUUUAGUUAUUUUAAAAGUUCAAUGAUUGUGCCACUAUUUUCAGGGAUUAUUUCAUUUAUGUUUUCUUCUUAUUUUCCAGGUAUUAUUUUUGAUGUACCACUAUUUUGGUGCUACAGAAAUUUAUAAUGCAAUUCGUCUAUUUAUUGCUGCAUAUGUAUGGAUGACCGGAUUCGGAAAUUUUUCUUAUUAUUAUAUUAGAAAAGAUUUCAGCCUUGCAAGGUUUGCUCAGGUAAUCAACUGAAAUGAGUGCUAAAUUAGGAUGAAUACAAUGUUUGUAACAAAAUAAGUGCUGGAGAUGUAUGUCAUGUUGUUUUUUGUGUAGAUGAUGUGGCGGCUUAAUUUUUUGGUGAUAUUUUGCUGCAUUGUUCUGAAUAAUGAAUACAUGUUAUAUUACAUAUGCCCCAUGCAUACACUCUUUACCCUAAUGGUAUAUGGUACACUUGGAAUCUUCAACAAGUACAAUGACCGGGACUUAGUAAUCGCUGCUAAAAUUACUACCUGCUUUUUGGUCGUUAUUCUUUUGUGGGAAGUACCUAAGGUAUUUGAAUUGGUGUGGAGCCCAUUAACAUUCCUUCUUGGUAAGUUUUUUUAUAAUCAUGUUUUGACUUGCUUUCCUAUCAAAAAGUUAAUUUUGUUGAGCUAAUUUUCUUUACAGGUUACAGUGACCCAAAUGCCAAACAAAAAUUUCCUCGGUUGCGUGAAUGGCAUUUCCGAUCUGGACUUGAUCGCUAUAUUUGGAUUGUGGGAAUGAUAUAUGCCUAUUUCCAUCCUACUGUAAAUACCUAACAUUAAAUUUCAAGUUAAAAUCCAAUCAAAUCCAAUCCCAUCUUUCAUUUUACUUAUUUAUUUUUUUCUAUCAAAGGUUGAACGGUGGUUGGAAAGAUUGGAAGAAGCAGAAGCUAAAUUUAGAAUAUCAAUAAAAACAACCAUCAUCACCAUUUCACUACUGGUAAUUUUUCUAUAUAGUGCCUAACAGAUGUAUUUAUUCAAAAUGAUAGUUUCAAUUAUUUUAUGGAAAUUUGGACUUUAAUUUUAGGUGGGUUAUUUUUGGUACGAAUAUGUGUACAAGCUGGACAGGUUUACAUAUAAUAAAUAUCAUCCUUAUACCUCAUGGAUUCCAAUAACGUAAGGAUUUGCCCGGUCGAAACUCAAAAGUCUCUAAUAUUAAUUUAUUUUCUACUCGAUAUUGAAUAUUAAUGAAAAAUAUUAUUUUUGUCUUGGUUAAAUCAGUGUCUACAUAUGCCUAAGGAAUAUUACCCAAAAAUUUCGAGGCUAUUCUUUGACCCUUUUCGCGUAAGUGGUUAUUUUAAUCUUAGACUGAAUAAUGAAUCACAUUCUCUCUCUCUUAAUGAUCUAAAUCCGUGCUUGAUUUGUCAGGUGGUUGGGAAAGAUAACACUGGAGACUUACAUAUCGCAGAUUCAUAUAUGGUUAAGGUCUUUAUAUUGUUUUCAUCUAGUCAUCUAUACAUAUUUUAUGGGCUUUAUUAAUAAUCUAUGUUUUACAAAUUUGUUUAAUGUGACUUGAAUUUGAAUAUGCUGAAUGGAACUUGUCCUCAUGCCACUAGAUUGCCUAGAUCUCUAUGCCAGUGCCACUAGAUUACAAAUCAGAGUGAUUUUUUAAUUUCUCUUGGAAUUCAACCACCACCCUCUCUGGAAAAUCUCGCCAGAGUCGACCCCACUCUACAGAAUUGGAAACUUAAGUAGAAGAACUGAAUUUCUCUCGACUGCAUUUACCAGGAAGUAGAAUGGGCGAAGGUGGGGAGAUUUUUCCUAGUGAAAGAUGGGAAAAGAAUACCCAUAACUAGAAAAGAAGAACAAAGUAUUCUUGCCUAGCUUUUUUCAUCUUCCCAUCACCCCAAAGGUACUCUAGUAGUCCAUUGAACCUUCCUGGAAAAACAGCAGAAGGUGAUAUCAGUGCAACCUUCUUCUCUUCUGAAUUCUUCACCCCCAAUCCCACAGAGUGACUACGUGAGAUCAUUAAGGAAGAGUGAUCCAUUCCCUCACUGAUCUAUAGCUAUAGUAUUCUUAGUACUUAGUAAUAUGUUUUGAAGAAUGGUCAGUAAAAAAUAGGUCACCUCCAAAAUGAAUUCAGUAGAUAGCUCACAGCUGGGAGGAAAGGAUCAGUAAUCCUCAAAACAGAGGAAGAACUCCCCUUCACCGGCUUCAUCAACAAAUGGCAGACAUCCACACCCAACAUUGGUAAUCUGAGGAAAUUUCACUUCUCCCCCACUGAUCAGAAUUGGUACUUACGAAUAUGCAUCCUACUCCAAGCUACUUAUGUGUAAGUAAGCCCUCAAAGCGCGAUGCGCUGUGUGCAUCGUCUUUAAGUGGUUCCUAUCUGAAUCCGUUUAAAUUAUUAUAAAAUAAAACUCAGAAAUUCGCAUACAUCGCCUUUUGGCGAAUCAAUGCAAAUAAUCAAAUGUGUGAUGAAGGCUUCACUUGGGCCAAAGUGGAGGAGGUAGUUGGAGCAACAAAUGAUAGAGGUACCCGUACAGAGACCAUAUAUUGACAAGGUGACUUCAUCGGUGAAAGCGAGGGGGAGGGGAUAUUAAUGAUGUAGGUACCCCGUACCCAUACUAGAGACCUUAUCGUCGAGACUCGAGAUAAUAGGAUUUACCAUUGAAAGCGGUGCGACCAGAGGUGGUUAGCUAGAACUACCCAUUGCGUGAUUGACUGCAUACUUGUUUGUCGACCACCCUAUGGUUGGUUGACAAAUGUUACCCACUCUUGGACCAAGGCACUCCUUAACUUAAAGUUGUUAUUGUAAAAGACCAUUUUGCUCCUGUGAAUGUCUAUAUAUAGGAGUGACCCCCUCCCACACACACAUAAUGGGGGUUGGAUAUGUUGAGCACCUGCCGAAGGAGUAGAACGUUCUGCACCAGUUGACGAGUUUCAGGUCCUCAACCAUCGGGGUCGAUGUCAUUGGCGAGAAUCCACAUUCAAUAUGGGCCAGGGAGUAGUUAAGCUCGACUAUUCUCAAACUCAAGUUCUUGACUAUUAACCACUAGAUAGUUUAGUUUUUUGAGUUUAUGAACUUAUUUGCUUAGUUUUAUAUUUUGACAAUUAUGAAGUAUUACUGUAAGAGUUAUUUGUUCUUGGAGUUCUUUUGCUGACACCAUAAAUCAGCGGCUAUAGCGUUUUACCUAUUCUUUUUUUUUUUUGCAAUAUUCUACUUGUAAAUUUUUAUUUAAUUUUAGUUGGGUGGAUCCUUACCCAUGAUCCGGCUAAGGCAUAGCGCUAGGCGCUAUGCCCUGCCAGGCAGGCCACUAUAACGGUGCAAAAUUCUAUAUCUAUAGCGGCACUAUUUAAAAGUAUGGUUGACAUGCGGUGUAUUUUAAUGUUUAAACCUUAUUCUAAAAACAAACAGAACCACCUCGAACACCAAAUUUGUAAAACUUACUAAAAAGCAGAAGGAAGUUAAUGGAAGGGAAUUAAGAAGCAAAAGUAAAUUCUAAUGCUUAAGCUGUGUUUAUUCCACAUUGAUUUUAGCUUUGAUUUGUUGUUAAAUCGUGGAUCUGUAGAUCAGGAGUUCCUGAUGGACAACCUAGAUUUCUUCUAUCUUUCAUUCCCAAUUACCCGAUGUUGAACUUUAUGCUAACAAGUGUUAUAUAUAUUGCGGUAAGUCACCCUGUGUCCCUGUGAUAAAAAUAACAGACAUCUCAAAAUGAAAAUAAAAAUGUGAUUCAUGGUCUUUUUUUAUUUACCUUUUUUAGAUAUCACAUAGACUUUUUCAAGUGACAAAUACGUUGAAGUCUGCAUUCGUGCCGAGCCAAGAUGACAAACGACUGUUGCACAAUAUGAUUG